SAKAGAUGGCUGAGUGGWUGAUAGYGCCGAUAUGGUCAAAUGGUAAAAUUUCUCUUUGCCAACGAGAAGAUGCGGGUUCGAU
rnacentral:tRNA from 1 species